UAGGGAUUAAAAUUAUAUUUUUUUUGUAAAUUUUAAUAAAAACUUGAAGAAAUGCGUGAUUGAAAAAUUGAGAGCCCCCAUAAAAAUAUGUAGUUAAAAUUAAUUUUUGACUUUAACUUAUGAAUUUUAAUCGGUACCAAAUAUGAGCUUAAUUUUAGAUUAAAAUAUGAAAUUUAAUUGGUACCAAACAUGAGCUUAUUUUUUAUCACAUGUUUUAUGAGAUUGAUAACUUUUCAAUCACACAUUUCAUCAACUUCUAUCAAAAUAUAUUAAAAUUUUGAUUUUUAUCUUAACCAAACACGAAUUUUUUUUCUCACGCUGUUUAGUUUAGCUGUUGACUAGCACAACAGAUGGAUUCAUUCCCACAACAAAUAACACUACAGUCAAAGCAAUAAUGGUGCCUUUACUUCAUUUCCUCGAAAGAAAAGGUAAUGCUAUUGCUUUAUUUCCUGUUAAUUUUUAUACUUUACGUGUUUAGCCCGAGAUGGCUUUGCAAAAGAGCAAGCACCCACACACAGAGGCCGGCAAAGAAUAACUGGGACGAAUGAAAACAGAGAAACAAUAAACUACUAAUGUUCUUUAUAACGCUAAGCAGUUGCAGCCAAUAAACUUGAUCUGUAGCAUGCCCUCCUUACUGCACGUACAAUGUCGUCAAUCUGACCAGAUUUCACCACAAAAUCAGAUAAAGAAUGAAUUGGGUGAAAAAAAUGACAACAGAGAACAGAUGAUUGAGCAUGUCUGGUUAAGAGUAAAAAAUUUGCUUACAAGUCUUCCAGCUUGACUAGAUGGAGAAUAGAGGAGAAUCUCAAGUUCAAACAGCAAAAUAAAGAAUAUUAUAAAUUAAAAAGGAGAGAGAGAGAGAAGAAAAGAAACUAUAAUAGAAUUCUUCCGCCUUGGAGCAAUGCAUAACUGUUACUUCUACAAUCAUCAUCUGAUUAUUCCCGUAGCUGAUAAAAAUUAAAGUAUUCAUGUCGAUAAACUAAUCGGAAAAAGAAAAAACCUGCCCUGAAUACAAGUACAGACUAGGCAUUUUUUGUUGAUGUUCAAGUGUCUAGUAAUAAUCAAAAUUGUUUAAUUCGAAGGCAUAGUUUUCCUGCUCUUUUUCAUUGGGUUUCCUUCCCUAGUUGAGGGCAACAGUUUUGUUUAAGUGGUCAUAAGAAAUGGAACUAUACAAAAAAACAAUUUAUUUUGCCUACUGAUGCUACCAAAAAUCGUACCUGCUGAUUUUUCGAGCUUGAUGACUGGUGAGGAGCACGAACGUGAUCUUCCGAUACCUGAAACAAAGGCAACGAGGUGUGUUCUCGUCGCCCCUCCGAUGCUUAAGUCAGAAAGGGAAAAAUAUGCGUGAGGCUAUGUGCUGAAGAACAAUGAGAAAACGUACCUGAAUAAUGGCCCAAGGUUCUGCUUUUAUAGGAGUAGGUAGUGUACUCCUAGUAGGAUUGUGUUGGUUGGAUGUUUUUAUCCAAGGGAAUUUCUAUUAUAAAGAAUGUCCUACUUGUAAU
rnacentral:lncRNA from 1 species